GACGAACGCUGGCGGCGUGCCUAAUACAUGCAAGUCGAGCGCAGGAAGCCGUCUGAACCCUUCGGGGGGACGACGGUGGAGUGAGCGGCGGACGGGUGAGUAACACGUAAAGAACCUGCCCAUAGGUCUGGGAUAACCACGAGAAAUCGGGGCUAAUACCGGAUGUGUCAUCGGACCGCAUGGUCCGAUGAUGAAAGGCGCUCCGGCGUCGCCCAUGGAUGGCUUUGCGGUGCAUUAGCUAGUUGGUGAGGUAACGGCCCACCAAGGCGACGAUGCAUGGCGGACCUGAGAGGGUGAUCGGCCACACUGGGACUGAGACACGGCCCAGACUCCUACGGGAGGCAGCAGUAGGGAAUCUUCCACAAUGGACGAAAGUCUGAUGGAGCAACGCCGCGUGAGCGAUGAAGGCUUUCGGGUCGUAAAGUUCUGUUGUAAGGGAAGAACAAGUGCCGCAGGCAAUGGCGGCACCUUGACGGUACCUUGCGAGAAAGCCUCGGCUAACUACGUGCCAGCAGCCGCCGUAA
rnacentral:rRNA from 1 species